UACGUAGGGUGCAAGCGUUGUCCGGAAUUAUUGGGCGUAAAGGGCUCGUAGGCGGUCUGUCACGUCGGGAGUGAAAACUCAGGGCUUAACCCUGAGCCUGCUUCCGAUACGGGCAGACUAGAGGUAUGCAGGGGAGAACGGAAUUCCUGGUGUAGCGGUGAAAUGCGCAGAUAUCAGGAGGAACACCGGUGGCGAAGGCGGUUCUCUGGGCAUUACCUGACGCUGAGGAGCGAAAGUGUGGGGAGCGAACGGG
rnacentral:rRNA from 1 species